rnacentral:rRNA from 1 species
GACGAACGCUGGCGGCGUGCUUAACACAUGCAAGUCGAACGGAAAGGCCCUGCUUUUGUGGGGUGCUCGAGUGGCGAACGGGUGAGUAACACGUGAGUAACCUGCCCUUGACUUUGGGAUAACUUCAGGAAACUGGGGCUAAUACCGGAUAGGAGCUCCUGCUGCAUGGUGGGGGUUGGAAAGUUUCGGCGGUUGGGGAUGGACUCGCGGCUUAUCCGCUUGAUGGGGGGGUAGUGGCGUACCAAGGCUUUGACGGGUAGCCGGCCUGAGAGGGUGACCGGCCACAUUGGGACUGAGAUACGGCCCAGACUCCUACGGGAGGCAGAAGUGGGGAAUAUUGCACAAUGGGCGGAAGCCUGAUGCAGCAACGCCGCGUGCGGGAUGACCUCCUUCGGGUUGUAAACCGCUUUCGCCUGUGACGAAGCGUGAGUGACGGUAAUGGGGAAAGAAGCACCGGCUAACUACGUG